AUUGAACGCUGGCGGCAGGCCUAACACAUGCAAGUCGAGCGGUAGAGAGGUGCUUGCACCUCUUGAGAGCGGCGGACGGGUGAGUAAUGUCUGGGAAACUGCCUGAUGGAGGGGGAUAACUACUGGAAACGGUAGCUAAUACCGCAUAACGUCGCAAGACCAAAGAGGGGGACCUUCGGGCCUCUUGCCAUCAGAUGUGC
rnacentral:rRNA from 1 species